GGUAGGGAAGGUGGUGGUAAAUUACUUCUCCCCGUAUUUUAAUUUAGAUGGAGUAAAGGAAGUUCAGAGACCAUCUGGGACUCUUGGGGGUCACUCAACAGAUGGAGAAGGAGUGGCCAGCAGCUUAAUGAAUGGCAGGCUCAACCCAGCCCUGAGGGUGAAGCUCCUGAUGCUCAGCAUGGCAGUCAAACCCUCCCCUGUGUACUUGGACCUGCCUUCCCAGCUGCAUCUUCUAUAGCUAGGGACAGGAAUCAGUGUCCUCUUGUCUCCAGCUUGUGCCUGAGCAUUGACAGUCCCGGAAACAGAGACCCGGAGAGGUUAAGCUACUCACCUGAUGGCACACAGCUGCCUUCUCAGAGAUGGAUCUGAGAUGUGAAUGGGAUAGCUCUCACCACUGCAUCAUGCUACAUUUCUGAUGUGCUUACUGCAUACGUGAACCUCCGUGGAACAUGAAGGCAACCCCUACUCUCCUGCUUCCAUUGGUCACUCGGUUCUGUUGCUUCUAUUUUUUUUUCCAGUGGUAGAGGGGAUUGAACCCAGGGGCACUCUACCACUGAGUUACAUCCUCAGUCCUUUGCAUUUUUAAAUUUUGAGACAUUGUCUCAUUAAGGUACUGAGGCUGGCCUUGAACCUGUGAUCCUCCUGCCUCAGCCUCCCCAGUUGCUGGGAUUACAGGUGUGCACCACGGUGCCUGUUGCUUCUAUUCACCAUUGUCUCUCAGAGCUGGCCCUGCCUGACAUAAGGCUCUGCUGCUCUCGUCCUUUAACUCCCCUAAUUGAGAGGUAAACAUCUUCAGGGGCUUCCCAUUGCUUUCAAGGUGGAGUGCAAACUUCUCAGAGAUGUCACACAGUUUUAAGUAUUGGUCUGGGUCACACCUUUACCUUCCUGUCCUUUCCUCCUCCUGGGCCUGCCCACUAUUCCUCUCCACUAGCUUCUUUCUUGUCUUUAUUACUUUUGCCAGAGUUGACCACUUCUGAGCCCAAGGCUGAGUUCCCAGGAUAUUCUGUGUGCUGCAUGGGCCUGUAAAAGUAUUGGAUUUGGAUGAGGCAUGCAGUCUGGGGUUCACCCUACUCCCCUCUGCUUCCCUAGAUCUUAUGCCUUCUGUCUUAUUUACCUUCUUGGCUUCUGAUGUCUUAAGAUGUCCCUGUUGUGCCUGGACCCUUUCCUCAUUUGGUUAGACAACUCCUACACAUCCUUCAAAACCCAACUUAAAUACUCUCCUGACCUGUGGCCACACUUCUCUCCUUAUCUUGUCCUCAUCCCCAUCAAUGCUCCCUCUCACUCUGCGGCAGCAGUGUAUUGACAUAGAUGUGUCUCUCCUCACCAGAUUGGUUUUCCCCGAAUUCCUCAAUCAAUGAAAGAAAGUACUGAGCAAAGAGGAGAGAUUUUUUAUAGCUACCCAGGCUGUAGCUUCUCCUCUGGCCGAGGGACCUAGUUGCUGGAAGAUAAGAGGGAUUAUCCCUGAAUUCCUUUACCAUCUUCCUUUGCCACCAUGUACCACCAGCCUGGGAGACACAAGUCUGUGGCGGGUCAAUUUUCUUUUCUCUGCUUUUGAGAAUCCUGACAAUGGGGGGGGGGGGCUGCUCAUUCAAACCAUGAAAGAGGCGGUGAAAAAGUCCGCUUAGCCCUCAAGUGGCGUUUUUCAUUUUGUGUAACAGAAACCGAGCCUCCUCACCUACCUCUUGCUCCCUGCUGGGCAGACGAAUAUCGAAAAACAGACCCUUUGUGGCCCAGCCGCCCUUCCAACGGCCCAGCGCCCGUUUUGGGGCACUACUUCUCAGAGGUGGCUCUUCAUACCAGUAUUUGGGGUUUGGCCGUUGGGGUUCUCUCAAGUUCAGUGAGGAAGCAAGAAUGUCUCUUCCUCCAGGACCAGGCACUGCGUCCAGACCCAGGGGUCCAGUACCCCCAAACCUAGUCCAGGGGGACCCUCAGUGAUGUUCUGGAGCCGGUGGUGAGAGCAUCCCUCUGUGAGUUCAGAAGGCAGCUGACUGCCUCCAGUCAACCCAGCAGCAGAACUUACACUCUGGAAAUUGGCCAGCAGGACAAACUCAGCCUCUCCU